CGGGUGAGUAAUGUAUGGGGAUCUGCCUGAUGGCGGGGGAUAACUACUGGAAACGGUAGCUAAUACCGCAUAAUGUCUGCGGACCAAAGAAGGGGGACCUCCGGGCCUCGCGCCAUCAGAUGAACCCAUAUGGGAUUAGCUAGUAGGUAAGGUAACGGCUUACCUAGGCGACGAUCCCUAGCUGGUCUGAGAGGAUGAUCAGCCACACUGGGACUGAGACACGGCCCAG
rnacentral:rRNA from 1 species